UGAAGAUCCCAAGAGUAGUUGCCAACUGAAACAUCAUGUUCAGGCCUCCUCGAAGAUGAGUUGGUGCCAUCUCUGAUAAGUAGAGUGGAACUGCCUUCAAUAACAAAUAAGCAUUAACGCAUUAGGAGGAAUUGAGACAAGCAAAUGAAGGUGUUGAAGCACGUCCGAGGCAGUCCAUUCUCUUCAUUAUCAAGUGCAGGAAGUAUACCUGAUUCCCAAAGCCAAUGCCUACACCAAGCAUUAUUCUUCCUAGGAUGAGCAUUUCAAUAUUGACGGCGGCUGCAUUUAAAGUUGCCCCAACAAGAAAGCUAAUUCCACCGCAGACUAUACUUGCACGGCGCCCAUAGUUCCUGGUGAUGGGGGAGGCCACCAAUGAGGAAACUAGUCCAGCAAGAUAUAGGGAUGAGGUUUGUUGAACUUUUGUGAUGUGUAUACGUCUGGAAAAAAGUCGCGUUCUUGGAAAAGGAUCCCUUGUCUUUCUGAGUUGGCAUAUGGCCUCAGCAAUUUGUAAGUUAAUAUAAUUGUGAGAUAAGCUCCACUUGGAGAUAUUGAUAAUUUCAAGGUCUUUGUUGCAUGUGUUCGUUUUUCUCUCUUUUGAUUCUGAAUUCUUUAUCAAAACUAGUCCAGACUUGCUUUCUGUUUAGAUGUCAUGUCAUGCUAUGCUUAACUUUUGCUGUACGUUUUUCUAGUAAACAAUAUCAGUAUUCUGAAUUUCUAAUCUUUAGUUACCACCAUAUAUUUUAACUGAA